rnacentral:lncRNA from 1 species
GCGGAGCGUGACUGUCUCGGCUGGAAGCGUGGGAGGCCGGAGGAUCCGUGACUGGCUGUCGUGGACAUGCUCGCUACACCUCCCGGGGCUUCGCUUCGUUUACUAUUAACUGUCGUUACUCCUCUGUAUCUCGUCAGCAGGGGCUGCCUGCGGUGUUAGAAUUACACGUCCCUGCCACCUGGGCAGGGAGCCCAGUCUCCCGGCCCCUCAGUCAGGCCUUGGGUGUAGCUGGAGCAUUUAAGAAAAAUGAAAUAUAGGAACUCAGUGCAUGGUUUCCUGGGCCUUUUUAUUGAGUAUCAUUUCUAACAUGUAUACAAUAUAACCCAGGCCUAGUGGAUUCCGGGACAGAAAAUGCUGGGAGCUGGGAUAGUCAAGUAAACAAGAAGAAAUGGUAAAGAGAUGCCAAGUGGGAGAGGAAACUACGGAUGCAGAGAGAGGAUCUGGGGUAAAGAGAAAAAAGAUGCGUGGUCGACUUUAUGGAAACUCGUUUCUUUUUAAUAAGUGAGGUACAUGGUAGAAGACUUUGACAUGUUGAUUAUGGGACGGGGACCAAGGACAAUAACUCAAGAAUUGAUUAAAACUACAGUUAUUCCUUGGUUGCCCCAAGGAUGAUCCUGGUUAGCCAAGUGAAGCAGUGGGAGUGGAGAAGGAACAAAGAAUCUGUAAAGUAGUUGUGAUCAAUUAGUUGUAAACACCACUGCACUCAGACUCAGACCAGCUUGCGUUGACUUUUAUGACCUAAUCUCAGAGGUUCCACUGUACUCUACUUGUUGAAGCAGCUACAAAAACACCACAUUUAAGUAAAGGGGACACUAAUUGGGAGGAGUGUUAGUCACAUUAUAAGCAUGUGGAAUGAGAGAUAGUAGAGAUAUUAUUGCAGUCAUUUAAGGAAAAUAUAAUCUCCCAUAAUAUUAAUAUCUAUUUUCCUUUUGUAAAAAAAGAAAAAUGUACCAUUUCAGGCUGAGCAUGUUGGCUCACGCCUGUAAUCAUAGCAUUUUGGGAGGCUGAGGCUGGUGGAUCACCUGAGGUCAGGAAUUCGAGACCAGGCUGGCCAACAUGGUGAAACCUCGUCUCUGCUAAAAAUACAAAAAUUAGCCGGGUGUGGUGGCGGUCACCUAUAAUCCCAGCUACUCAUAAGGCUGAGGCAGGAGAAUCGCUUGAACCCAGGGGCGGAGGUUGCAGUGAGCUGAUACCACCACUGCACUCCAGCCUGGGUGACAGAGUGAAACUCCAUCUCAAAAAAACAAAACAAAAACUGAAAUGUACCAUUUCAGAUAUUUUUUCUGAAAUUAAACCUGAAAAGGUCAAAAAACACAUAAAUUAAGUCCAUUUCAGUUACUUACCAUGUACAGGUAUUGUCUAAGUCUAUAGAAGUUCAGACUAUAGUAGUUCAAAAUACCUUAUACGGGGCAGCUUAUAAAAAAGUUUAUUUCUCAUAGUUCUGAAGGCUGGGAAGUCCGGGUUCAAGUUUCUGGCAGAUUCAGUGCCUGUCGAGGGACUGCUUUUUGAUUCACAGAUAGUGUCUUCUAGCUGUCUCCUCAUGUGGUAGAAGGGUGCCUUUUUUAUUAGUACUCCUAGUUUUAUUUAUUUUAUUUUAUUUUUUAGAGACAGGGGUUUUACUAUGUUGCCCAGGCUAGCCUCAAACUCCUGCGCUUGAGCGAUCCUCCCACCUCAGCCUCCCAAGUAGUUGGGACUACAGGCACACGUUAAAACACCUGGUUCCUAGUAGUGCUUCUUUUAUAAAGGCACUAAUCUCAUCUAUGGCACCAGAUCCCUCGUGACCUAAUUACCUCUCAAAGAUCCCAUCCCUUAAUACCAUCAUAUUGGUGAUGAGGUUUCAAUACAUGAAUUUGGGGGGCUGGGGACACAAACAUUGAGACCACAGUAGGUGUUAACGUUGAUAUGAGCUGGUAAGUGAUAACACCUGGCAGCAAUCAGAUACACAGCCAUAGGUGAAGGCAGGUGAUUAGAAUUACCAGCCAACACGUUUAUGUGCUAGCUAAUUUUUAUUCAAAACUUUCUGAAGCUACAUUCAAAGCAGUUAAUGGGAAAUGGAGUAAAAAAAUAGGCAACCUCUCACUCUAGGUAAUGCUGUUAAAAGUAAUUUUUCCUCCCAGUCCUCUCCUGUAAUGAAUAGUAUAAGAAGGUAUCCUCCCAACGUAGAGGCACCUUGUGUUUCCAAAGUUUUAAUUAGUUGUCAUGAUAGUUUUAUGUGUCUAUUUGACUGGGUUAAGGGAUGCCCAAAUAGGUAGUAAAACAUUAUUUCUGGGUGUAUCUGUGAAGGUGUUUCUGGAUAAGAUUAACAUUUGAAUGGGUAGACUGAGUAGAGCAGACUGUCCUCCCCCAUGUGGGUGGGCCUUAUCCAAAUGGUUGAAGGCCAAAAUAGAACAAAAAAGCUGAGUGGAGAGGAUUUCCUCUGCCUGACUACCUUCGAACUGGGACGGUGGCUGUUUCCUGCCUUUGGACUUGAACUGAAACAUCAGCUCUUCCAGAGUCUUGAGCCUCCUGGCUUUUGAACUGAAACAACAGUAAUGGCUUUCCUGGUUCUAAGGCAUUUGGACUUGGACUAGAACUACACCAUCAGUUCCCCUGGGUCUCCAGCUUGCCAGUCUCCAGUUUGCCAACUGCAGAUGUUGGGACUUGUCAGCCUCCAUAACUCCAUGAACCAAUUUUUUGUAAUAAAUCUCUUUCUAUAUGUCUA